rnacentral:rRNA from 1 species
CCUACGGGAGGCAGCAGUGAGGAAUAUUGGUCAAUGGACGAGAGUCUGAACCAGCCAAGUAGCGUGAAGAAUGACUGCCCUAUGGGUUGUAAACUUCUUUUAUAUGGGAAUAAAACGUUCCACGUGUGGGAUUUUGUAUGUACCAUAUGAAUAAGGAUCGGCUAACUCCGUGCCAGCAGCCGCGGUAAUACGGAGGAUCCGAGCGUUAUCCGGAUUUAUUGGGUUUAAAGGGAGCGUAGGUGGAUUGUUAAGUCAGUUGUGAAAGUUUGCGGCUCAACCGUAAAAUUGCAGUUGAAACUGGCAGUCUUGAGUACAGUAGAGGUGGGCGGAAUUCGUGGUGUAGCGGUGAAAUGCUUAGAUAUCACGAAGAACUCCGAUUGCGAAGGCAGUUCACUGGACUGCAACUGACACUGAGGCUCGAAAGUGUGGGUAUCAAACAGGAUUAGAUACCCCUGUAGUC